ACGUUGAUCACCGAAGUUAAGCAACGUCGCCCCUGGUCAGUAACUAGAUGGGUGACCUCUUGGGAAUACCAGGUGCUGUAAG